rnacentral:rRNA from 1 species
UACGUAGGGGGCAAGCGUUGUCCGGAAUUAUUGGGCGUAAAGAGCGCGUAGGCGGUCCGAUAAGUCGGCUGUGAAAGUCAAGGGCUCAACCCUUGAAAGCCGGCCGAUACUGUCGGACUAGAGUCCGGAAGAGGCGAGUGGAAUUCCUGGUGUAGCGGUGAAAUGCGCAGAUAUCAGGAAGAACACCAAUGGCGAAGGCAGCUCACUGGGACGGUAUUGACGCUGAGACGCGAAAGCGUGGGGAGCAAACAGG